UACAGAGGUCUCAAGCGUUGUUCGGAUUCAUUGGGCGUAAAGGGUGCGUAGGCGGCGCGGUAAGUCGGGUGUGAAAUCUCGGAGCUUAACUCCGAAACUGCAUUCGAUACUGCCGUGCUUGAGGACUGGAGAGGAGACUGGAAUUUACGGUGUAGCGGUGAAAUGCGUAGAUAUCGUAAGGAAGACCAGUGGCGAAGGCGACUCUUUGGCCUGUAACUGACGCUGAGGCGCGAAAGCGUGGGGAGCGAACAGG
rnacentral:rRNA from 1 species